GUUGUAAACUCCGUUAAGAUUCCUUCCGUAAGGGUGACCUGCGGAGGGAUCAUUACCGAGUUUACAACUCCCAAACCCAAUGUGAACGUUACCAAACUGUUGCCUCGGCGGGGUCACGCCCCGGGUGCGUCGCAGCCCCGGAACCAGGCGCCCGCCGGAGGAACCAACCAAACUCUUUCUGUAGUCCCCUCGCGGACGUAUUUCUUACAGCAUCUGAGCAAAAAUUCAAAAUGAAUCAAAACUUUCAACAACGGAUCUCUUGGUUCUGGCAUCGAUGAAGAACGCAGCGAAAUGCGAUAAGUAAUGUGAAUUGCAGAAUUCAGUGAAUCAUCGAAUCUUUGAACGCACAUUGCGCCCGCCAGAUAUUCUGGCGGGCAUGCCUGUCCGAGCGUCAUUUCAACCCUCGAACCCCUCCGGGGGAUCGGCGUUGGGGAUCGGGACCCCUCACACGGGUGCCGGCCCCUAAAUACAGUGGCGGUCUCGCCGCAGCCUCUCCUGCACAGUAGUUUGCACAACUCGCACCGGGAGCGCGGCGCGCCCACGUCCGUAAAACACCCAACUCUCUGAAAUGUUGACCUCGGAUCAGGAGGGAAUACACGCUGAACUUAAGCAUAUCAAUAGCCCGGAGGAAAACCUUUAUUUA
rnacentral:rRNA from 1 species